rnacentral:rRNA from 1 species
UACGGGGGGGGCAAGCGUUGUUCGGAAUUACUGGGCGUAAAGGGCUCGUAGGUGGCCAACUAAGUCAGACAUGAAAUCCCUCGGCUUAACCGGGGAACUGCGUCUGAUACUGGAUGGCUUGAGAUUGGGAGAGGGAUGCGGAAUUCCAGGUGUAGCGGUGAAAUGCGUAGAUAUCUGGAGGAACACCGGUGGCGAAGGCGGCAUCCUGGACCAACACUGACACUGAGGAGCGAAAGCCAGGGGAGCAAACGGG